rnacentral:rRNA from 2 species
AGAGUUUGAUCAUGGCUCAGAUUGAACGCUGGCGGCAGGCCUAACACAUGCAAGUCGAGCGGCAGCGGGAAGUAGUUUACUACUUUGCCGGCGAGCGGCGGACGGGUGAGUAAUGUCUGGGAAACUGCCUGAUGGAGGGGGAUAACUACUGGAAACGGUAGCUAAUACCGCAUGACCUCGCAAGAGCAAAGUGGGGGACCUUCGGGCCUCACGCCAUCGGAUGUGCCCAGAUGGGAUUAGCUAGUAGGUGGGGUAAUGGCUCACCUAGGCGACGAUCCCUAGCUGGUCUGAGAGGAUGACCAGCCACACUGGAACUGAGACACGGGCCAGACUCCUACGGGAGGCAGCAGUGGGGAAUAUUGCACAAUGGGCGCAAGCCUGAUGCAGCCAUGCCGCGUGUGUGAAGAAGGCCUUCGGGUUGUAAAGCACUUUCAGCGAGGAGGAAGGCAGUCGUGUUAAUAGCACGAUUGAUUGACGUUACUCGCAGAAGAAGCACCGGCUAACUCCGUGCCAGCAGCCGCGGUAAUACGGAGGGUGCAAGCGUUAAUCGGAAUUACUGGGCGUAAAGCGCACGCAGGCGGUUUGUUAAGUCAGAUGUGAAAUCCCCGCGCUUAACGUGGGAACUGCAUUUGAAACUGGCAAGCUAGAGUCUUGUAGAGGGGGGUAGAAUUCCAGGUGUAGCGGUGAAAUGCGUAGAGAUCUGGAGGAAUACCGGUGGCGAAGGCGGCCCCCUGGACAAAGACUGACGCUCAGGUGCGAAAGCGUGGGGAGCAAACAGGAUUAGAUACCCUGGUAGUCCACGCUGUAAACGAUGUCGACUUGGAGGUUGUGCCCUUGAGGCGUGGCUUCCGGAGCUAACGCGUUAAGUCGACCGCCUGGGGAGUACGGCCGCAAGGUUAAAACUCAAAUGAAUUGACGGGGGCCCGCACAAGCGGUGGAGCAUGUGGUUUAAUUCGAUGCAACGCGAAGAACCUUACCUACUCUUGACAUCCACGGAAUUUAGCAGAGAUGCUUUAGUGCCUUCGGGAACCGUGAGACAGGUGCUGCAUGGCUGUCGUCAGCUCGUGUUGUGAAAUGUUGGGUUAAGUCCCGCAACGAGCGCAACCCUUAUCCUUUGUUGCCAGCACG